CAUAUCCUGUGGACAGCUUAUAGUGGGACCCCAGGGCAGAUAUUGAAGUUUGAUGUAACUUGUGAAUGGCUUAGAAAGUGGUAAUUUCUUGGGAUCAGAACGCUGAUUAAGGCAAGGCUGGGAGGAGUCAUCUUUCUCUUCCACAGUGUCCACUGGGGCAGUUCAACCCUGUCUGCGGGACCCAUCUCCAAGACGUGAGUUGGCACAGCCAUCAGUUCGUCUCCAUAGAUGUCUCCACGGGCAACCUGAGCUCCCACGUGGCAUGGUGAUGGUUCCGAAAGAAGACAAGAGAGACACAGCCACAGAGGACGAGGCCAUAUGAGAUGGAGGCAGAGACUGGAGAGAUGCAGCCACAAGCACAAGCCAAGGAUGCGCGGGGCCACCAGGAGCUGGGGGAGGGGCCCCAUCAAUGAACAAAUGCAGACAACUCUUCCUGGAGUUUUGCAUUAAAGACAAGAAGCUGGGGGCACAGCGAGGGGGACAUGAGGUCAAGGGGCUGCUGCUUUGUUAGGUAGGGGAGAUUGAGCAUGUUUGAAUCCUGAUGGGAAUGGACAAGCAGCAGGAGCAUCUGAUGGCACAGCAACCAGGGGGCCACCCCUUAAGGACAGGUGGGCCGGCUUGCCUUGGAGCAUGGGUGCUUGCUCACAGGCUGG